rnacentral:misc_RNA from 1 species
GAGCUGCUACAAUAAGAGAGGAGCACGGUUUUGGAGAUUUUUGUACUGGCAAAGUUUGGUGGAGGCACUGGGCUAUGGGACAAAAUCAUGAGGCUUAUGGCCAAAGCAGACAAUUUCUCUAGUGGUGGGAGCCCGAUCGUUACAUAAAGUGCGACAGAACUGAUUUUGCAACUAGAAUUAAGACUGAUGCACACGUAGAUAUUCCUUCUACUCAUGAUGGUAGUGCAUUUGAUCAUGGUAAUGUUAAGUGUGGAGGCACUGGGCUUGGUGAGUCUACUGCUACUGUAGAGCAUGAAAGUGAACAUGUUACAAAACCUAUAGUUGAACCUGUUGUUGAGCAUGAUAGUGAAGAGGUUGUAGAACUUGUAGUUGAACCUACUGUUGAACUUGAGAGUGAACAAAUUGCAGAAUCUGCAGUUGAGUCUACACAGAAGAAGGAAGAUUAUCUAAAGGAUCAGCAGGAGAGUACUCCAGCUAAACUUUCUAUAGUUGAAGCUUCUCAGGCUAAGAAGAGUAAGAAAAAAGUUAAGUCUACAGUGUCCAAUCCAUAUCAGACUCUGGCUACUGCUCUUCAAAGCCCAUCUGAUGAGGAUGAAUCACAGGAGCGUGAUUCUUAUAACGCUUUUGCUGACCAAGUUUCUUAGCCACCUGCUGCCAAACCCUCCAAGAAGAAGAUAGUGCCUUCCAAAGCUGUUCGAAGGAGCAAAAAGUUUAAUGUUUAUAAAAUGAUCUGUUUUUUUAGUUUACUAAUAUGUUUACUACUGUUGUUGGAUGGUUUUUCAGUUUGCUACUGUUUUUCAGUUUAUGCUUGGUUCUUUUUGGAUUAAUAUCUCCUGUUUCCUUUUUGGAUGAUGACAAAAAGGGGGAGAAUGGUUAUGGAUAUGUGAAUAUGUGUUGAUGAACAUGAAAAUAUGGAAAUAUGUUGAUGUGUUGAUAUAUAUACUUGUGAAGUGUGGUGAUAUAUAUAUGUGAUGAUACUUGUGUUGCUGGAUAUAUGUUUAUAUUUGUGAUUGAUACUUGUGAAGUGUGAAUAUGUUUUAUAGCAUAAUUUCAGGGGGAGCUUAUGUACAGAAAAUGAACUUCUUGGAAAUUAUAUGCAUG